GAAGAGCGCAGGGCCCACCUGGAAGGUGGGUGACUCCCGGGACCAAAGGAGGCUCCAAGCAGCAGGGCUCCGUUUGGUACCUGCUUCUCCCAGAUCCCUGGCACGUCCAAGGAGCUGUUUGCUGCCCAGGGCCGCAUCCCUUACUGGGGGGCCUGAGAGCCAGCCCCUCCCUUGCCGCUGACGAAGGAGCCCCCGAUUCUCCUGACCUUGGAGGAGAUGCAGGGGGGGAAUUAAUACUUUUGGAGUCCCUAAAAAGAUUUUGGUGCCCCCAUAAAUAUCUAGUUCAAAAUAUAAACAGUAAUCUGUACAAUUUUACUUUUCGAAAUAAAACCUACAGUAAGAUGGAAAAUAAUGUUUUAAUCUGGUAUACUUUCACUUCAUUUGAUAAAUGUCCUCUAACUGCAAAAUAUUUGAGCAGAUCCUCAAGAACCUACUCACCUGACACAAAACUGCACAAAAGACUGUUCAUGUAGGCUACUGCUGCUGCUGCAAGGAUACUUGCCCAGACUUGGAAGGAUGAGACCUAUAAAAGCAGCCUGGCAGAUGAAACUAUGCAGAGAUGGCAAGACUGAGCGGGAAAAUCAGAAAGAUCAAAACUUCAGUAGAGAAUGGGACAAAUACAGACUGUAUCUAAAAGAACUCUGUAAACACUUGAACUCUUUGGCAGGCUUUAAAUAACUAUUGCAGUGUCACAAAGACUUUGGAUAUAAUGGAGGACAGUAAUUUGGAUGAAUUUAUAAUAUGCAGUUUACAAAGGUAUUUAAAGAACUCGUGAAGGGGAGGAGGGAAGUCCUAAGAUUUGGAAGAAUCUUGUUAUAAUUUUAAUAUUUGCAAGAAUUUGUGUGUGUGUCUGAAUCAACUUGUAAAACCAAAUAAAACUUUAUUGAAAAAAACCACACAACUGCACAUACACUAUGCAAAAGAAUGAAAUAUCAUUAUCCCCCUUCUUUCUACACUCAACCUUGCAAUGCCUGUGGCAGCAGCUGCACUCCAAAUGUAACUGACCUGUAAAAAGGGCUCUAUAAUUUGAAAACGUUAUAUGUAC